rnacentral:rRNA from 1 species
CCAAUAGCGUAUAUUAGUGUUGUUGCGGUUAAAAAGCUCGUAGUUGAAUUUCGGGAUUGGGAUAUAUCGGUCAUGCCUUUAGGGGCAUGAAUCGGUGUGUGGCCAAUUCUCACUUUCUGGUGAAUUGGGAUGCUCUCGGGUGUUUCAAUGAACUAGGACUUUUACUUUGAAAAAAUUAGAGUGUUUAAAGCGGGCAUUUUUGCUUGAAUACGUUAGCAUGGAAUAAUAAAAUAGGACGAUGGUUCUAUUUUGUUGGUUUUAGGACCACGUAAUGAUUAAUAGGGAUAGUUGGGGGCAUUAGUAUUCAAUUGUCAGAGGUGAAAUUCUUGGAUUUAUUGAGGACUAACUACUGCGAAAGCAUUUGCCAAGGAUGUUUUCAUUAAUCAAGAACGAAAGUUAGGGGAUCAAAGACGAUUUAUGUACGUCGUAGUCUUAACCAUAAACUAUGCCGACUAGGAAUCAGACAAAGUUAAUUUUUUAACGACUUGUUUGGUACCUUACG